UGGGGAAUAUUGGACAAUGGGGGCAACCCUGAUCCAGCCAUGCCGCGUGAGUGAUGAAGGCCUUCGGGUUGUAAAGCUCUUUUGGCGGGGACGAUGAUGACGGUACCCGCAGAAUAAGCCCCGGCUAACUUCGUGCCAGCAGCCGCGGUAAGACGAAGGGGGCUAGCGUUGUUCGGAAUUACUGGGCGUAAAGCGAGUGUAGGCGGUUGCCGUAGUCAGGUGUGAAAGCCUUGAGCUCAACUCAAGAAAUGCACUUGAUACUGGGUGACUAGAGGACCGGAGAGGAUAGUGGAAUUCCCAGUGUAGUGGUGAAAUACGUAGAGAUUGGGAAGAACACCAGUGGCGAAGGCGGCUAUCUGGACGGUUACUGACGCUAAGACUCGAAAGCGUGGGGAGCAAACAGGAUUAGAUACCCUGGUAGUCCACGCCGUAAACGAUGGGUGCUAGACGUUGGCGAGCUUGCUCGUCAGUGUCGCAGCUAACGCGUUAAGCACCCCGCCUGGGGAGUACGGCCGCAAGGUUGAAACUCAAAUGAAUUGAC
rnacentral:rRNA from 1 species